AUUGAACGCUGGCGGCAGGCCUAACACAUGCAAGUCGAGCGGAUGAAGGGAGCUUGCUCCUGGAUUCAGCGGCGGACGGGUGAGUAAUGCCUAGGAAUCUGCCUGGUAGUGGGGGAUAACGUCCGGAAACGGGCGCUAAUACCGCAUACGUCCUGAGUGAGAAAGUGGGGGAUCUUCGGACCUCACGCUAUCAGAUGAGCCUAGGUCGGAUUAGCUAGUUGGUGGGGUAAAGGCCUACCAAGGCGACGAUCCGUAACUGGUCUGAGAGGAUGAUCAGUCACACUGGAACUGAGACACGGUCCAGACUCCUACGGGAGGCAGCAGUGGGGAAUAUUGGACAAAGGGCGAAAGCCUGAUCCAGCCAUGCCGCGUGUGUGAAGAAGGUCUUCGGAUUGUAAAGCACUUUAAGUUGGGAGGAGGGGCAGUAAGUUAAUACCUUGCUGUUUUGACGUUACCAACAGAAUAAGCACCGGCUAACUUCGUG
rnacentral:rRNA from 1 species